CUCCCUCCAUCCACUAAGACCAGAGAUCAUAUCCACUCUCUCCCUCCAUCCACUAAGACCAUAGAUCAUAUCCACUCUCUCUCUCCCUCCAUCCACUAAGACCAGAGAUCAUAUCCACUCUCUCUUUUCAUCCACUAAGACCAUAGAUCAUAUCCACUCUCUCCCUCCAUCCACUAAGACCAGAGAUCAUAUCCACUCUCUCUCUUCAUCCACUAAGACCAGAGAUCAUAUCCACUCUAUCUCUUCAUCCACUAAGAACAGAGAUCAUAUCCACUCUCUCUCUUCAUCUACUAAGACCAUAUAUCAUAUCCACUCUCUCUCUCUUCAUCCACUAAGACCAUAGAUCAUAUCCACUCUCUCUUCAUCCACUAAGACCAUAGAUCAUAUCCACUCUCUCCCUCCAUCCACUAAGACCAGAGAUCAUAUCCACUCUCUCCCUCCAUCCACUAAGACCAUAGAUCAUAUCCACUCUCUCCGUCCAUCCACUAAGACCAUAGAUCAUAUCCACUCUCUCCCUCCAUCCACUAAGACCAUAGAUCAUAUCCACUCUUUCUCUUCAUCCACUAAGACCAGAGAUCAUAUCCACUCUCUCCCUCCAUCCACUAAGACCAGAGAUCAUAUCCACUCUCUCCCUCCAUCCACUAAGACCAUAGAUCAUAUCCACUCUCUCUCUCCCUCCAUCCACUAAGACCAGAGAUCAUAUCCACUCUCUCUCUUCAUCCACUAAGACCAUAGAUCAUAUACACUAUCUCCCUCCAUCCACUAAGACCAGAGAUCAUAUCCACUCUCUCUCUUCAUCCACUAAGACCAGAGAUCAUAUCCACUCUCUCCCUCCAUCCACUAAGACCAUAGAUCAUAUCCUCUCUCUCUCUCCCUCCAUCCACUAAGACCAGAGAUCAUAUCCACUCUCUCUCCAUCCACUAAGACCAUAGAUCAUAUGCACUCUCUCUCUUCAUCCACUUAGACCAUAGAUCAUAUCCACUCUCUCCCUCCAUCCACUAAGACCAUAGAUCAUAUCCUCGCGCUCUCUUCAUCCACUAAGACCAGAGAUCAUAUCCACUCUCUAGCUCCAUCCACUAAGACCAGAGAUCAUAUCCACUCUCUCCCUCCAUCCACUAAGACCAGAGAUCAUAUCCACUCUCUCUCCAUCCACUAAGACCAUAGAUCAUAUGCACUCUCUCCCUCCAUCCACUAAGACCAUAGAUCAUAUCCUCGCUCUCUCUUCAUCUACUAAGACCAGAGAUCAUAUCCACUCUCUAGCUCCAUCCACUAAGACCAGAGAUCAUAUCCACUCUCUCCCUCCAUCCACUAAGACCAGAGAUCAUAUCCACUCUCUCUCUCCAUCCACUAAGACCAUAGAUCAUAUGCACUCUCUCCCUCCAUCCACUAAGACCAUAGAUCAUAUCCUCGCUCUCUCUUCAUCUACUAAGACCAGAGGUCAUAUCCACUCUCUCCCUCCAUCUACUAAGACCAGAGAUCAUAUCCACUCUCUCCCUCCAUCCACUAAGACCAUAUAUCAUAUCCACUCUCUCUCUCUUCAUCCACUAAGACCAUAGAUCAUAUCCACUCUCUCCCUCCAUCUACUAAGACCAGAGAUCAUAACCACUCUCUCCCUCCAUCUACUAAGACCAGAGAUCAUAUCCACUCUCUCCCUGCAUCCACUAAGACCAGAGAUCAUAUCCACUCUCUCCCUCCAUCUACUAAGACCAGAGAUCAUAUCCACUCUCUCUCUUCAUCCACUAAGACCAGAGAUCAUAUCCACUCUCUCUCUUCAUCCACUAAGACCAGAGAUCAUAUCCACUCUCUCCCUCCAUCUACUAAGACCAGAGAUCAUAUCCACUCUCUCCCUCCAUCUACUAAGACCAGAGAUCAUAUCCACUCUCUCCCUGCAUCCACUAAGACCAGAGAUCAUCUCCACUCUCUGGUCCAGGCUCUUACACCUGCCUUUAUCUCAUCUACAUUAUUAACCACAGUUCUCCUCCUUCCAUCUUGUUUCUGAGGAGAUGCUAAUGAAUGAGGCAGGAUGCCUGUUAAACACCUCUCUUUCCAUGGCACAGAUCUGCCAACAGUGAUUAAAGCGAAGAACAGGCCAGCAGGUUACCAUUCAUCAGGAGAGAGAAGGAGAGAACCGGGCUACAGUACAGCCACCAUCAUCAUCAACCAUCAUUUCUCAUCAUCUAUCUAACCCACCCAGAACAGAGCUGAGGCAUGGUGGUGGCCUACUUUACAGGUAGGUACUGUAGUUCACUCACAGCACAGAGACAAACAGCACGCACACCCAGCCCAGAGCCCUAGUCAUUGAGAGCUGUGAGCAGAGAGCAGUGUAGCACUCCAUAAACCUGCUCUCUCUAAGCAGAUGACUGCUUAUUCCACACACUUAUUCCUAACGGUUAAUUAGGAAAUGAAACCCAGUCA
ensembl:lncRNA